rnacentral:rRNA from 1 species
UACAGAGGUCCCGAGCGUUGUUCGGAUUCAUUGGGCGUAAAGGGUGCGUAGGCGGUCUUCUAAGUUUGAUGUGAAAUCCCAGGGCUCAACCCUGGAAUUGCAUUGAAUACUGGAGGACUAGAGUACCGGAGAGGAAACUGGAAUUUACGGUGUAGCAGUGAAAUGCGUAGAGAUCGUAAGGAAGACCAGUGGCGAAGGCGAGUUUCUGGACGGUAACUGACGCUGAGGCACGAAGGCCAGGGGAGCAAACGGG